UGGGGAGCAGCAUCCGUUCAUGCUGCUGGACCAGCAGGAAAUGGAGCAAGAGUCAGGAACAAACCUGAAAAACCUCUUCCGGGGCAGUGGACGUAGCCCUGGAAUAAGGAACCUGAAAUUCCCUCCUUCAAUUGAAGACCUCCAGGACUACCAGCGGUACCACGAGGGCAGCUGCCCCACUGCCAAGCAGCUGGAAAAUACACAGUCCAAUGUGUUUGAGGGUCAGGUCUUUAUAUUUUACCUGGCAAAGGGACAGACUGAAUUGUUCAGUUGGCUGUUUUUAAGGAGCAUUGAUGGCAUCCAAAAAUACACAGCCCACCUCCAGUCCGUAGGCAAGACCAUCACAACGGCACUUUCGGGAAACCCUGCCUGCCAUGGAUGUGAUGAGCGUGCUGCGCCCCAUCACAAAGUGCAUCACAGACACAACCAGGACAGUAGUCCUGUACCAGCUGGCAGUGAAGAGCCACAAGAAGGCCAGGAUAAUAUCCUGCGAGGACCUGAAGCGGUGUCAGGAGGGGGCCACACUGAGGAUCCCAGAGCUGCUGGACGCCCUGAAGGAAAACCACACACCGUCGCCAUGGUACCGUCGCCACGGUACCAUUUUUACUGCUACUUUUCGCCUUCACAGCCUCCAUUAUGGUCAUUGCCCGGGGGUACUCAGUAACCUCCGGGUUUGCGAGGUCGAGGAGGCCACAGAGGCGCACAAGCCUGGCGAUGAGGGUUUUGUGAUCUCUAUCAGGGAACACAAGACUAGCAAGUCCUUUGGGGUGGCCCAAAUAUUUUAGACACUGACGAGUUUCGAUGGCUGGAGAGGAGGCUGCAAGCUGCGGGUGGCCAGCAAGCCACCGAACCAGCUGGUGUUCUUCACGGCUGGGAAG